GUAGGGAAUCUUGCGCAAUGGGCGAAAGCCUGACGCAGCCAUGCCGCGUGAAUGAUGAAGGUCUUAGGAUUGUAAAAUUCUUUCACCGGGGACGAUAAUGACGGUACCCGGAGAAGAAGCCCCGGCUAACUUCGUGCCAGCAGCCGCGGUAAUACGAAGGGGGCUAGCGUUGCUCGGAAUUACUGGGCGUAAAGGGAGCGUAGGCGGAUAGUUUAGUCAGAGGUGAAAGCCCAGGGCUCAACCUUGGAAUGGCCUUUGAUACUGGCUAUCUUGAGUAUGGAAGAGGUAUGUGGAACUCCGAGUGUAGAGGUGAAAUUCGUAGAUAUUCGGAAGAACACCAGUGGCGAAGGCGACAUACUGGUCCAUUACUGACGCUGAGGCUCGAAAGCGUGGGGAGCAAACAGGAUUAGAAACCCUGGUAGUCC
rnacentral:rRNA from 1 species